rnacentral:lncRNA from 1 species
CUUAUGAGUAUAAGUCACCACCACCGCCUUCUCCUUCUCCACCACCGCCUUAUGUGUAUAAAUCUCCACCACCACCACCUAAACAUGAGGAGAAGCCUUAUGAAUACAAGUCUCCACCACCACCACCACCAAAGGAGAAGCCUUAUGAGUACAAGUCUCCACCCCCACCAUCACCUUCUCCUCCACCUCCUUAUGAGUACAAAUCUCCACCACCUCCAUCACCUUCUCCACCACCUCCUUAUGUGUAUAAGUCUCCACCACCUCCACCAAAGCAUGAGGAGAAGCCUUAUGAAUACAAGUCUCCACCACCACCACCGAAGGAGAAGCCUUAUGAAUACAAGUCUCCACCACCACCACCGAAGGAGAAGCCUUAUGAAUACAAGUCUCCACCACCACCACCGAAAGAGAAGCCUUAUGAAUACAAGUCUCCACCACCUCCAUCACCUUCUCCACCACCUCCUUAUGUGUAUAAGUCUCCUCCACCUCCACCAAAGCAUGAGGAGAAGCCUUAUGAAUACAAGUCUCCACCACCACCACCGAAGGAGAAGCCUUAUGAAUACAAGUCUCCACCACCACCACCUCCAUCUCCAUCACCACCUCCUCCAUACUACUAUAAAUCUCCACCACCUCCAUCACCAUCACCACCACCUCCAUACUACUACAAGUCCCCACCACCACCACCAAAGCAUGAAGAACAACCACCAUAUUACUACAAGUCACCUCCUCCUCCAUCUCCAUCACCACCUCCUCCAUACUACUACAAGUCCCCACCACCUCCUUCACCAUCACCACCACCUCCAUACUACUACAAGUCUCCACCACCACCAAAACACGUAGAGCAACCCCCAUACUACUACAAGUCUCCUCCACCUCCAUCACCCUCACCACCACCACCUUACUACUAUAAAUCUCCACCACCACCUUCACCAUCUCCACCACCUCCUUACUACUACAAGUCCCCACCACCUCCAUCUCCAUCACCACCUCCUCCAUACUACUACAAAUCUCCACCACCACCACCAAAGCAUGAAGAACAACCCCCAUACUACUACAAGUCUCCACCACCACCUUCACCAUCUCCUCCACCACCUUACUACUACAAAUCUCCACCACCACCCCCACAUUACGUCUCACCACCAUACUACUACAAAUCUCCACCACCACCAGUGAAGUCUCCUCCCUACUACUACCAUUCUCCUCCACCACCAACUCCUUACUACCCCCACCCCCACCCUCACCCCCACCCCCACCCACAUCCGCUCAUAGUCAGGGUGGUCGGAAAAGUUUACUGCUACAGAUGCUAUGACUCAAGCUACCCAGAGAAAUCACACGGCAAGAAACAUCUCGAAGGUAAAUUAAUUCAUACAUUAAUGCAUUUAUUAAUUGAUUUAUUUUCAAUUUCGUAUGUUUUAUUUAUUUCUUAGUUUCAAAUUUUUGUGGAACUUUGUCACGUGAUUUAGAGGUUAAAAUAAGAUGUUUAUGAAUAUUUUAAUUCAAAUAGACGUAAACAUAAUAAUUAAAGGAAUCUGAAGUUAUUCUUCUGGAAGUUUAAAAAAAAUUAAAAAAUAGAUUAUAAAAAUAAACAAAGUCUGUUUUUGUUUCUUAUAUGUUUGAAAAUAAAUUAUGACUCUAUUGUCUGUCUAUGUAAUAUUUUUAUAUAAUUUAAUAUUCAAUUCAUAAUAAUUUAAUGAUAAAAACUAUUGUUAUAAAUUACUCUAAAAUUAUAGCUUUCUUUAUUAAGGGCUGCACCAUAUAUGGAUGCACAAGUCAACAUAAGUAGUGAACACAUAAGUCAUGUCUAUGGAAAAACUGUUUUUUUUUUUUUUGAUUAAAUUAAUUCAUGGAAAGACAAAAUUAGUUAUAAAAUAGUUGAUGUCUAAAUAGAAAAAAGAUAUUUUGAUUGACUUUUUAGCAAAAAAGAAACUAAAUUUUCAAUUAUUGCACAUGGAGCAGGUGCUACUGUGGAAGUGACUUGCAAGGAGGGUGAAAAGGAAAUCACUGUCUAUGGAAAGACCAAAAACAACGGCAAAUUUGCUGUCACUGUUGAUGGGUUUGAUUAUGGCAAAUACGGAGCCAAGGCAUGCAUUGCCAAGCUUCAUGCCCCACCCAAGGGUUCAUCAUGCAACAUACCCAUGAGUGUACAUGAUGGCAUCAAGGGUGCUGUGCUCAAGGUCAAGUCAGAGGACAAUUAUGAGGUUGUGCUAAGAGCUAAGCCAUUUGGUUAUGGUUCAAAGAAACCUUACAAGAAGUGUGAAAAGUACACUCCUAAGCCUCCGACUCAUCCGUACAAGCCACCACCGUACUACUAUAAGUCUCCACCUCCUCCGGCUCCCACUUACGUUUACAAGUCACCACCUCCACCAUCACCAACUUAUGUUUACAAGUCACCUCCACCUCCUGUGUACUACUACAAGUCUCCACCACCACCAAAGCAUGUGGAACAACCUCCAUACUACUAUAAGUCUCCACCUCCACCGGCUCCCACUUAUGUUUACAAGUCACCACCUCCACCAUCGCCGACUUAUGUUUACAAGUCACCUCCACCACCUGUGUACUACUACAAAUCACCACCACCACCCACUUAUGUCUACAAGUCUCCACCACCACCAAAGCAUGUAGAGCAGCCCCCGUACUACUACAAAUCUCCUCCACCACCAUCGCCAUCUCCUCCUCCACCAUACUAUUACAAGUCCCCACCACCACCAGUUCACUCUCCACCACCACCAUACUACUACAAGUCCCCACCACCACCAAAACAUGUGGAGCAACCUCCAUACUACUACAAAUCUCCUCCUCCACCAUCGCCAUCUCCUCCACCACCAUACUACUACAAAUCCCCACCACCACCAAAACAUGUAGAGGAGCCCCCAUACUACUACAAAUCUCCUCCACCACCAUCACCAUCUCCUCCUCCACCAUACUACUACAAGUCCCCACCACCACCAAAACAUGUGGAGCAACCUCCAUACUACUACAAAUCACCCCCACCACCAUCGCCAUCUCCUCCUCCACCAUACUACUACAAGUCCCCACCACCACCGAAGCAUGUAGAGGAGCCCCCAUACUACUACAAGUCUCCCCCACCACCAUCGCCAUCUCCUCCUCCACCAUACUAUUACAAAUCUCCUCCACCACCAUCACCAUCUCCUCCUCCACCAUACUACUACAAGUCCCCACCACCACCGAAACAUGUAGAGGAGCCCCCAUACAUCUACAAAUCUCCUCCACCACCAUCGCCAUCUCCUCCUCCACCAUACUACUACAAGUCCCCACCACCCCCGAAGCAUGUAGAGGAGCCCCCAUACUACUACAAGUCUCCCCCACCACCAUCGCCAUCUCCUCCUCCACCAUACUAUUACAAAUCUCCUCCACCACCAUCGCCAUCUCCUCCUCCACCAUACUACUACAAGUCCCCACCACCACCGAAACAUGUAGAGGAGCCCCCAUACAUCUACAAAUCUCCUCCACCACCAUCGCCAUCUCCUCCACCACCAUACUAUUACAAGUCCCCACCACCACCAGCCCAUUCCCCACCACCACCAUACUACUACAAGUCUCCACCACCACCAGUCCACUCCCCACCCCCACCAUACUAUUACAAGUCUCCACCACCACCUUCUCCUUCACCACCUCCACCAUACUAUUACAAGUCCCCACCACCACCAUCACCAUCUCCUCCUCCACCAUAUUAUUACAAGUCCCCACCACCACCAGUCCACUCUCCACCACCACCAUACUAUUACAAAUCCCCUCCUCCACCAUCGCCAUCUCCUCCUCCACCAUACUACUACAAAUCCCCACCACCACCAGUCCACUCUCCACCCCCACCAUACUACUACAAAUCCCCACCACCACCAUCUCCUUCACCACCUCCACCAUACUACUACAAAUCACCCCCACCUCCAGUGAAGGCUCCAGCACCUACCUACCAUUACAACUCCCCUCCUCCACCAUCACCAUCUCCUCCUCCCCCAUACUACUACAAAUCUCCCCCACCACCAGUCCACUCUCCCCCACCACCAUACUACUACAAAUCUCCACCUCCUCCAUCUCCCUCACCACCUCCUCCAUACUACUACCACUCACCUCCCCCACCUGUGAAAUCACCUCCACCUCCAGUCUACAUCUACGCUUCUCCUCCACCACCAACACCCUACUAGAUCUAAAAAGAUCGACCACACACCGUUCAUGUAAGUAAUAUUUUAUUAAAUCAAUAGUUAAGUAUAACUUAUCAUAUAACAGUUAAUUUCAUAUUCUAACUUAUUGGCCACAUCAAAAUUUCAGGUUGUAGUUUCGCCAGCAAAAUAAAGGAAGGUGCCAAGGAGGAAGGGAGAUUUGGACAUCAAAGCAGUUCCUUUUCAAGUCCAUGGAAUAAGGGUCUAAGCAUUACAUUGGAGAGAUACAAUUUUGAUAAUUCAGGCCUACAUAUAACUUCCACUUCUUUGGUAGCCAUGUUACACAUGCUCUUUAUUUAUUGUAGUGGCAUAAGAAGGAAGUGAGUGUUUUUUCUAUUUUAAUUAUUGGGUUUUCACUUUAAUUUAUUCGUGUAUAGAAAUGUGGCCUUCCGUAUGAUUGAUGAAGCUUUUUCUAUUUAUUGUGGGCAUGCAUUUGCUAUUUGGUGGAUAAUUUGAUGUACUAUGUGCACUAUUAGCAAUAAAAGAAUCUAUUUGUUCCAAUGUCAAUGCUUUGCAACAACACCUUUUUUCUAAUCAUUUCGACCAAUUCCAGCUGUAUAACGAAAAUUUUUUAAUAAAAAAUUUAUUAACCCUUAAUUAAAUAAAUUUUUUUCAAGCAAAUUAAGAGAAAAUUGGGACUUUUUUUGGUAAAUAAAAUAGUAAAGCUUUAAGCUAGGAUUAUAGUAGAAUUAAUAGCCAUCAAACAUUGAAUAUGUAGCACAAUGGAUAUCAUCAUCUAAUAAACUCCUCACAUUUUUCGAUGAUUUCUCAUGAAUAAUCAAGUGAUCCAUUUCGCCUCGAACCUCUUUUACAAUACAAUUUGUCAUCCUAUUACUCUCUCAGUAUCUGCCGAAAUUUUUCCACAUAAAAAAAAUCAAAUCAAUAUUAUUCCAAUUGAAUUUUCAAUCAUUACCAAAUCUUUUGUUUUUAGAUUAUAAUUAUUCCAAGAUUUGAAAAAUGUUACAAAAAGCAAUUAAUUGAUUAAUUAAUUAAUAAUGCAUUCCUUUUAAGUUUUAACUUCUUAUAUAGGGUUAGGGAUGGUGUGUUGGAUAUGAUUUCCAUUAUAAUAAUUGUUCACCUAUAGGCUAUAAGAAUAUUUGAGGCAUAUACUAUUUUUUUAACCCCCUAGAUUUGAAAAAUUAUUAUACAACAUAACAAUUUAUAAGCAUAAUUAAAACACAACACAAGUAAAAUUCAGUAUGUUGGCCUAAUGAUUAAGGUGUUCAUCGUCUUUAAUGGGGUCUGGGUUUGAGUCAUGUUAAUUGUGUUGUUGUUAAAACUUUACUCUCUUAUUAUAAAUUACAAAAAAAAAUACAAUACAAAUAUAAUAUAAAGUAUUUUAAAUACAAUUAUAAUAGGAAAAAACAUAUGAAUACAACUAAAUAAGUACAUAAUGCAUUAUGUAACUAGCAUUAAAUAAUGAACCAGAAGUAAGUUUUGUUGGAAGGGGGUUGGUGCAAUGCACCUUCUAAAAGAUUCUUUUAUUUAUUUAUUUGGGUAUAAUUUUGAAUAGUAUUUGGAUCAAAAGUAAAGAGCUGGAUCUCAUUUAAAUAAAAUUUCGAGUUUGAAUUUUGUAGUUGUAUAAAAUAAUAUUAGGAGGAUUUCUCCAAGAGUUUGAUCCAACCAAGUGUACUUUAGAUGGAAAUUUUAUUUUUAAUCUCUUUAAAAGUUGUAAAUUAAUAUGUUAAUAUAUGAUAAAAUUAUAUUUUGAUCCCAAGAAUAAAAAAAAUUGAUUAAAUCUUUUUAAAAACUAUAAAGUUAUAAAGCCAAUAUAAUGAUAAAAUUAUAUUUUAACUCUCAUAAAAUUUACAAUUCAAUUUUUAUCCCUAAAAAAAAAACUUUCUGGCUUCACCUCUGUAUUCAACUCGACUCCAAACUUAGUUGGAGCCCAAUGUGUAGGACUAGGAGUGUUAAUGAGACACUAGUGCUCGCAAUUUAUUCAAGUUUGAUUUGAAAAAAAAGAAAAACAAAACAUGAAUUUCGAUUUCGUAAUUAUCAAGUCAAGGCUCGAACUAUCAAUCGAGCUGAAUUUGAGCACCAUAAUACUCGAUUUGAAUAGCUUGCUAGCCUAAUUGGACUUUUCGUUUUAAUAUCUUUUUACUAUUUUGAAAUUACAUUUGUACUCUUAUUAUAUGAAAAGAGCUUAAGUACAAACGAGUUUAAUCAAGCUCGAAUUUGAAUUUGAGUAUACAAAUUGAUAAAUAAACUUAAUCAAACUCGAACUUAAGUAAGCUAAUUAAAUCCCGAUUAAAUUUGAGCUUAAACUGAAUAUCAAACCUUACCAGUUGAGUCUGGGUAGGAUUGAUUACAACCCUACAUACCAAGUCUAAAAAAAUUUAAAAGAAUUAAACUAAUUAAAUAUAAGUGAACUGGCAAAAGUGAAGCAGGUAAAAACAGCUAGAUGCCAAUUCAUUUGUCAUAAUCAUCAUCACCAUGGGUUGUCAAUAAUUUGUCGUGGAAGAAUUAAGAAAAUUGACAAGUCAAAAAAGUUGAGAGAUAAAAAUUUUUUUAAUUAAAGUGGCAGCCCCUCCCCCACAUGCAAAACAUAUUCCUUUUUCCCUUUUUUUGUGGUUGAAGGGUUUAGAAGAGAUUAUAAGUAUUUUUUUAUCAAAUAAAUUUGUUAUAGGUUCUAAUCAUGUAUGUUUUUCUUUUGCAGAAUGUCUAGAACUAUCUAUAGUCCCUCCCUAACCCAUAAAUAGGAGGAUAAUACGUUUUAGCAUACUUAAACUCACGUUCUCCUAUAUUGACAACAAUAUCCAUGCCAAUUGAGCUAAAGACUCAAUCGACAAAUUAUGAGUUCUAAACAUUAUAUAAAAAAUCACACACAAUGAAAUUAUAAAUUAAAUAAAUAAAAAUAAAAUCUUUUUAUUUAAACUCAAUUUAUAUAUGAUCUUUUAAGUGUUCAACUUGUUUUUUUUUGGUGAAUGACCUUGGCAAUUUAUCUUUUUAAGUCUAUAUAAUUUUAAUGUCACAUGUGUUGUACGUAAUUCUACGUAAUUAUUUUUUAAUUUAUUAAAUAAUGUAAUUUUGUUUGAUGUAAUUAAUAUAAAAUAAUUUAAUUUAAAAUAGUAGUAAUAAAAGUUAAAUGAAAAAUGAAAAAUAAAAUUGAAUGGAAUACUUAAAUAUUGAAUGUUGAUAAAUUUAGUAAUUAUAAUGAAAUGUUAUAGAAAAAAAAUUAAUUGCUUAUAUAUUUAAUAUCAAUACAAAAAUUACAAAUUGAGAGAAAAAUGCCAUUCUCAGUACUUGAAGCUAGAUCUUAAGAUACUAACAUAAAUCUUACUAACAUAAAUCUUCAACCACUUAAUUUGAGGGAGUGUCCAACUUGUAUUUCUUUAGUGUCCUACUUUUAUAUAUAUAUAAAAUAUACGGAAGAAUUCAUUUAUAUCGAUAUAAAAUUUAAGUGGUUUUAUAUUUUUUCGUAAUUUUUUAUAUGACUAAUAUUUUAACAAUUUAACAAUUAUAUUUUAUGGUCCAUUCAUAUAAAUUAUGCAUGUCAACUUUGGUAUAAAAUAAAAUUUUUUAACUAUUCGUUUUAUGUAAAAAAAAUCAACUGUUAAGUUGGAUGUCAGGCCAUCUUUUCUAUGUUUGGUUUUAAUAUGUUUGGUUGUAAUGGUAACACUUUACAACCUAAUUAUUAAAUAAAUUAUGAUUUUGCUAAGAAAGAAAAGGUAAAAAAAAUCAACCAUUAAAUAUAUUAAUAGAGAUCGAUAUGAUAGAGAUAUCGUAUUGAUUAAAAAUUUUAAUGUACGACAAAUAUAGCCAUAUUGAUAAAUUCAACGGUUGAAUUGUUGAAAUACUACUCGUACAAAAAAUUAUAAAAUAAUGAAAAAUUAUUCAAAUUUUAUAUUGGUAUAAAUAGAUCCUUCCCAUAUAAUAUAUAUAUAUAUAUAAAAGGAGUGUACAACUUGUUUUUCUUAGAAAAUGGCCCCUACCUUUGCCAAAAUAGCCUCCUUUAUAAUUAUCCCUCAUGAGGUUUUCAAUUUUCAAUUUUAUAAUAGGUAUUAAUCUUGACUUAGAACAUUUUAACAAAUGUUUUUCUAGUUGAUUAUUUAAAUUUUGUUCUUAGAAAAUAUAAUGUGGAUAAAAGAAAUCUUCAUUUCCUUUUUAUCUAGUUUAUUAUUUUAUAUUGGUUUAAGUACCCAAUUAACCUAUCGUUAUUGGGAUAACGAUAAAUUUAGUUAUUAAUGUUUAUUUAUUAUCACUUUGGUUUUAAGUUUUUUUAUUACUUUGGUCUUCAAAUUUCAAAUUUUAGUUGAAUUAUUUUUUUUAUAAAAAAUUGACUAAACAAUUAAAAUUUUAAUGGCACUGGUGACAGCUCGUGCAACAGUUCAUGUGUACUUCAUAAAAAUUUUAAAAUAUAUAUUUAAUUAAAAAAAUAAAUUUCAAAAAAGUUCUUAAAACUUUUAGAAAAUGUAUCCAUAUUAGCAAUGUAGUACACAUAGACUGCCAUGCGAAUUGUUUGCUAGCGUCGUUAGAAUUUUAACAGUUUAUUCAAAUUUUCCUUCAAAAAGAAAACCAAAUUGACUAAAAUAUGAAGGUUGAGGGGCGAAGUGAUUGAAAAACUAGAGUUAAAGUGACAAAAUGAGUAAACAUUAAGAGUUAAAUUUAUCAUUAUGCUUAUUUCUAAAUUCAAUAUCUCUUUAUUUAUUGUCAACUAAAUUAUAAGUUCAAUACUAAAUUAUAUUUGUUUUCCCACUUUGGUAUUUAAAACUUUUGUUGACACUUUGGUACUUGAACUAUCAUUUUGUCUUAGUUUAUUUUAAAAAGUAUCGGUGGAUUGAAAAAAGUUCAAAGGUUAAAUUGUAAGUUAAGCCAUUUUCUUUUGAUAUAUUGCCUAUAACUAUCAAUAAUCUCUUCUCAACCUUAAAUAGGAGAAUAAAGGGAAUAUUGAUAUUCAAUUGGUAGUUAAUUUUUUUUGAAUAAUCUCAUUGUAAAUUUUGAUCAUAUUAGCUGUUUUUGAUGCAAUACCUAGAACUACCUAUAGUCCCUCUCCAACCCAUAAAUAGGAGGAUAAUGCGUUUCCGCGCACUUGAACCUAGGUCCUCCUAUAUUGACAACAAUGUCUAUAUCAAUCGAGCUAAAACUCAAUCAACUAGUUAAAUCAUUUUCUUUUAUAAGAAUAAAAAUGUCUAAAAAUCAAAUCAAUAUCGAUAUCAACCAAAAUUUAAAUACAAAUUCUCACCCAUUAUUCAUUCCUACCCAACCCUAAACAAAAGAUAAAGAUACUGAAAUCGUGAUUGAAGCAUGAACACUUAUACCCACCAUAGUCAACCAGCUACCAGUACAACAAAUUGUCUCCUAAAAGAACAAAUCCUUUGAUGGCUUUCUAAAAUCAUGUAAUUUGUCCAUUAUAAGUAUAUACUCAUUAUUACAACGUACAAGGAAAUAAUUAAUACUGGAUAAGAAUUUUUGUAGGACAUCCUUAAUUUUUUUUGUUUUGUUUUUUUGACUAAAAGUGGGAUCAUUUCAGCAGCCAGAACAGUACCAUCUUUUAUUUGAAAUUUUCCGCAUCCGAUAUAUAAAUCAAUAAUAAAGCCAAAAGUUUUGGAAGAAAUUAAAAAUAAAAUAAAAUUCAAACUUUCUUUUUAGCCAAAGUGGACAUGCUUUUUGGAUAGGCAAUCAUGAAAUAGCCAUGCUUUUUUUUAAGAAAAAAAAGUUAGUCAAGGUAAUGGAUUGAAUUUUAGUUUGAUUGAUAUAUGUAUUGUUGUCAAUAUAGGAGGACAUAGAUUUAAGUGUGCUGAAGCGCACUAUCCUCCUAUUUAUAGGUUGGAGAGGGGCUAUAAGUAGUUCUAAAUAUUAUGUCAAAAAGAGCAAAUAUGAUCUGAACUUAUAAUGAGAUUAUUUAUGAUGUAUUUGGCAAUAGCAUAAAAAUUGAAUAUUAAUAUAAAAUAAUAUGUAAUUAAUAUUUUAAUUAGGUAAUGAUUCACCAUUUACUGCACUAUUGAGAUUUCAUGUUGUUUUCACUUGGCUCUUGUAAUUGAUUGGGGUGUGAUGAAUAUGUUGUCUUAAAAAGCAACAUAAUUGUGUUCGUAAUAAUUUUAGCAGUACUCCACUUGCUAAUGCCUCUUCCAUUCGAGGUUGUGCAAGUUUUGGCACUCGUAAUUGAUGGUUAUGAUAAUAUUUUCAAAAAAAAUAUUCAUGUUUCAUACAUAUUUCGGAUACGAGUAUGAAAUAUAGAUUUUUGUUUAUUUGGAGAUAUUUGAUAAAUUUUAAAAUACAAUCUUUCAAAUAAAUUUUAAAUAUUUAGAAAUAUUCAAAUAUAAAUAUGUUGAUGGUACCACCCAAGUUAUCCAACAAUGUCAUAUAAGUGUAUAGCUUUAAGUCUUAUUAAGAGUAAAUAUUAAAAUUUUUGUAGUGGGUUACUCUGUGAAUCGGUCAUCUCUUUAGACUUUUAGUAAAGUUAGAAGACAAAAACUCAAAGAUAAAAACAAGCAUAGUUAUCCAAGUCCAACAUUGAGUUUGUUGAAAGAGUCCGUCAACCUUAAGUCAUAAUUCCUUGAACAAAACAUAUUCGCAUUUCCCAUAUUCAAUACUCAUCUCAAUAAGAUAAAUAGUUGAUGCAUGAAGGCAUCUAUAACUGUUUAUAUUCAACCUAAUAAACUCUUAAUUUUUCAAAUAUAUGUGAAUAGAGUUAUCAAUUGGAUGGGUGGUUAAUUUUGAGUUAGUUCAAUUUGGGUUAGAUUAAUUUAAGUUUUAAAAUUUUGGGGUCAUUGCAAGUUGGGUCAUUUCAAGUUCCGAUUCUUUCAAAUUUGAAUUGUUUUGGAUUUAGGGUGAUUUUAGAUUAAUUAAGAUCUUUUUGGGUUUGAGAGAUUUCAAGUUCGGAUGAGUGAAUUCAAUCAAAUUAAGUCAGACUUAAAUUCAAGUUAAUCGGAUUGAUUUUUCAAACUUGACCAAAAUUGUCAGAUCUAUAUUCGAGACACAUAUAUAUUCAAACUUGAGUAUGCAAUAUAAUUCAAAUAUAUAAAGAUAUCAAGCAUGCCCACAUCAUGCUCGUAACCAUAUCCAAACCCUCACAUUAGGGAGACAAAACAACAACGUGUUGACGCUUACAUUUUUCCAAACACACCAUGAAAUGCAGAUCAGAGUAGAGAUUUAAGCUGAGAUUUUGGACAUAUUUUCAAUCACGUUAUAAUAUUUAUAAUAAAAAGAGCCAAAAACGUAAAAUAGCAAUUUUGAAAUUUACUUUUUUUUUUCCUGAAUCAAUUGAAUUAAACUUCGAGUUAGCUGAUUGAUUCCAAAAUCUAGAAAAGUGCAUGUUUCAUUUUUGAAAUUAAUUUUUCUUUUGGAAAGCAAACAAAAGAAAAGAAAAAGAGACCUUACGAGCUUUGGCCUUUUCAUAUUUUUACGUAACCAAAAUGGUGAUGGAUUUCACCUUUUUUUGUUUCUCAUCUGCUUUUUAAAUUUUGAUCAAUCCCUAUCAUGAAAACAGACUACAAACUCAAUUUUUUCCCUAUUUUGUUUUAGAAGGAAAAUUUUCGUAAAAAGAUAAAUGAAAUUGCCUAAAAUUGUACUUUAAAAAAUUAAUUUAGGUACAACAUUCGAAGAUUCCAGUUCUACUUUGGUAAAAAAAAUUUACCAGCUCUUGACAUUUAUAUAGGUACGAAGAUUAUAACAUAUUCCUAGAGAAAAAAAAGAAGUUGCAAAUGGCCUUGUCAAGAUAGUUCAAGACAUGAAAAUAAGAUUAAGAUUAUUUAAGGAUUCCGUAAAAGGGAUUAGUUUAAUUUCUUAUAUUUUGGGUCGCUUUUUCUAUAAAAAUAUUAACUUGGGCCAUAGUUGGGAAAUAAAUAUGUUGAUGAUAAUGGGUCGAGUUCGUGGGAUUUAAUGGUCCAACUAUGCUAUCGUCAUACUUGCCGGCCUAAGUGCAAUACAGCAUAAGUUAAGGCCUAAGUUGAAGCCUUUCUAUAUUAUUUUUUUAAACUAUGUUUAAUCAUUUAAAUAGUCAAUUUCAUAUCGAUAUCGCUCGCACAAGUCGAAAUGUUUUAUUCAAUAGUAAACUAAAAUAAAAAAAAAGUUAGUAUUUGAUAUAUUGAUAGUGUACUUUUAUUAUUUUACAAGUAGAUUUAAAAAUUAUCUCGUAUCUCUUCUUUUUUUCAAAUAUUUUACUAUGUCCCUUUAAGAUAUUUAUCAACCCAUUGACUCUCUUUAUAGAGUUUAAAAACUCCUUUAAAAAUAAGUAAUGAUGGUGCCGGUGCGACAUGGAAAAGUAAUUUUAAAAAUAUUUUUUAAAAUUAGGAAAAGCUUGGCCUUUUCAUAAUUUUACGUAGCCAAAUUUGUGAUUGAUUUAACUUUUUUUUCCCUUAUCUUUCUUUACUUUGCUAGCAUUACUUGCCUGCUUUUGAGUUUUGAUCAAUCCCUAUUAUGAUACAUACCACAAAGUCAAAUAAUUUUCCUAUUUUCUUUUAGAAAGAAUAAAAGGUGGCUAAUUGAGUCUAAAUUCGAUUUAAAUAAUAAUUAUUAUCAGUGUAGGAUGAUAUAGGUUUGAGUGUGCUAAAGCUUAUUAUACCUCCUAUUUAAGAGUUGGGGAGAGACUAUGGGUAGUUUUAGGCAUUGUAUCAAAAGGAGUUGAUAUUAAUGUUAAAAUAAUAAUAAUAAUAAUAAUAAAAGGUGAAUAACAUUGAGUAAAAUUUGCAUUAAGGAAAAAAAAACAUUUGGGCCAUAAUUGGGAAAUAAAGAUAUUCAUAAUAAUGGGUCGAAUAUGUGGGAUUUAGAUGGGUCCAACUAUGGUAUCAUCAUACUUGAUAGCCUAAGUUCAAGCCUCCCAUAUUAUAGAUGUGUUAAAUUAUGAAAGUAAAAAUUUAAAGGUUAAAUUAUGUUCUAAAUCCCUAUACACUUUAAACAUUUAGUCCUUUUACUUUUUGAAUUUAAAAGUUUUGUUGGAAUUGUGUUCUUACGAAAAAUUGGUGUUAGCAUUUUGAUUGAAACAGUCAGCAUUAUUAAUUAUUUAAAUUAACUAAUGACAUUAUAAAAGUAGAAUGAUUAAAUUAUGUCAAAAUUUAAAAUAUAUAAAGUAAAUCUCAAGUUUCAACAUAGUAUAGGGACUAAGAUUGAAACUACUGUUUAGCAUUUAAAUAAUACAAAUCCAAAUUAUGUUAUCCUCUUUUCACUUCCAUAUAUUAUAAUGAUAAAAAAAUACUAAAAAUAUAUUAAGUAAUCCAUGUUUCGGAAUUUUCAAAUCAAGUCAAAUUUAAACAAAUAUAGAAAAUUGAAUAUUUGAAAAAUUAUUUGAUGUAGUGUUAAUAGAGGUAACACAUAUCUCAUUUAAAGGCAGUAAAAAAAAUAAAUCAACAUAUUCUUUGACAGGGAUUUGUUGGAGUAAGUUUAGUAAUUAAUUCUCUGCAUUUUGUAGGCCCAUUAAAAGGAUAAAUAUUGGUCACGAGUUAACGGAGAAAGUAUAUUGACCAUUAAUAAUAUAAUAUGCUUUAUUUUAUUUUAUUUUAUUUUAUUAUGCUUAUAAUAAGAAGGUGAUAGGAAAUAGACUUGUAACCGAACCUUCUACCUACUAGUCUUUCGUCUAUAGCUUUUAACUUUUUCUCAUUCAACUUAGUCCUGCAUAAUAAGUCAAAUACCCAACCUAGUCGAAAUUAUAAACUCUCCAAAAAGGAUUAAUUGCAUAGACGCCCUGAAAUUAUGAUCCAGAUUUGACAUGGUCUUCAAACUUCAAAACUUCUAAUUGAGUUGUUGAAGUAUUAAUUAGGUCCUUCCAUCAUACUAAUCAUUAGGUUGGAAGUUAAACGCCAACUCAAAUUUGACGUGGAACAUAUUUAAAAGACCUGGAUCAAAUUAUAAAUACAUGUUCCUAUUAUAUUGACAAUUUUGGAUUUGACGUGUUUUUGUUUUAAAUAGUUCUCCUAAAUUAUAUUGAUAUUAGAUGUGUUCAAAUUUCGGUUAAAACCGAAUUAAUCGACUAAAUAGAUAUAAUUCGGUUAAUCAGUCGGUUAACCAAUCUAAUUCGGUCGGAGAUCGGUUAAUGAUUUUUUAAAAGUUCAGUUAUCGGUUAAUUCGAUUCAAAAUCGGGUAAUUAACUGAACUUAAUAAUUAAUUAUACAAUUUAUAUGUAGUCUUAAUUCGGUUAAUUUGGUCAAAUGAACAUUAUCAAUUUAUUUAUUUUUUUGAUAUGUUUUGUACUUGUUUUAACAAAAAAAAAUAUAAAUUUCGGUUAAUUCAGUUAACCAACCGAAUUAAUCGAAAUAUUUCGAUUCGACUAAGUUUUUUUGAAAAAAUUUUGGUUCAGUUAACAGUUAAAGGAUUAAAAAGUUUGGUUAACACUAGUUCGGUUCGAUUAACCGUUCGGUUAACCGUUUGAACACCCUUAAUUGAUAUUGCCUUUUUUUCUAACAUGUUAGAUCCAAGUUAUUGAUAUGAUAAGUACACAUGUAUUUACAGUUUGAUUCAUGUAUUUUAGAUACGUUGCAUGUCAAAUUCAAACUAAUAGUUAAUGCUUAAGUUGACAACAAUUUAUAUACGUUUCUACAAUUAAUCUCUCUAGAAAUAAUAAAAGUAAAAUAAAAAAAUAAUUUUAAAAAACAAAAUGAGUUUUCAUUAAUUUAUUUGAAAAAUCACAAACUUUCAUUAUCUUUUCUAUUUGUCCCUUACAUAUUGAAAUUUGAGAAGAAGCCAAUACUAAGAUAAGAUGGUCAAAUAUCCAUUUAGAUUUAAACUAGCUAGUAAUGAGUUUCUAGAGGAAAUGAGACUUUUAGUCCCUAAACAAUGCUCUAAUAAUUCUUCUUUGCCUACCUAAAAUUCAACCAUUUAUUCUCAAUAAUGAGCAUUCAAAGAACUUCUAGAGAAGACAAAAGUAUUAAUUAAUUCCUUUACAAAUUUAUAAACCGAGUUAUUCGUUUAAGUCUGAAAGCUUGUUCGAAAUAUACAAGAAUAUAGACAAAAGUAUAAUAUUCGAAGAAUGGGUUUGAGCAAAAAAAAAAAAAAUUAAGCUUGAUUAGAAUAUGAGUCAAGUUUGAACUUUAAUAGUCAAUGCGUUUUAUACUUUUGUAAUACAUUUAUUUAUUUGUAUAUAUUAUGUAAAAUUAUAUCACAUGAAUUAAAUAUAUAACAAUUUAGUAACUUGUAGACUUUAAAAAUUAUGUUAAAUUUAAUAAAAAAGCCAUCUAAAAUAUUAAAUUAAAAAUAAUAUAGGUGAGCCUAAAAUGAGUCCAAAAUUUAAACUUAUAUUUUAGAUUGAAUCAAUACUACAUAUAAGUUCAACUCGAACUCGGUCCAUGAACAUUUAUAAACAUCUAUAAUGAUUUGCUAAUCCAGAUUUUAUUUUACCAUACCAUGAAUAUUGAAGAAUUUAAGGAUUUAGAACAGAUAGUACCAAGACUUGGCCUUGGCAUCUAUGGUCAACACUAAAAAAAUGGUUGAAUGGUACAUAAGAAGUAGUGAUAAAAGUUGAAUUAAAUGGUAGAUAAAGGAUUAAUUAAAUUAUUAAUAACACUGAUUAAAACAUUUACGGUUCGAAUUAUUCAUGCAAGAUUGAUAAAUUUAAUUUCAUCAUGCUAAAUUUUGAAUAAAAUAUUUUUCAAUUUAAACUGACCGACUCUAGUCCAAAUUAAUAAUAAUUUUUAAAAUGAAUUCAUAAUUUCUAAAAUUUUCAAUGAUUGUCUAUGAAAUAAUAAUUAUAUUCUUUUAUGUAAUUCAUCAGUAAAAUUCAAACUGGUCCUUAAAUUAUCAUCUUAAAUCAUUUCUUUCAAUUAUAUUUUAAUAAGAUAGAAUUCUGUAUAGAUAAUGAUUUUAAUAUAAUUGAAUUUCACUUGCACUAAAAUAAUUAUUUACUCAGAUAAAUAUUUUUUAUUCAUUUAAAAAAAUUGAAAUUUAUUUAUUAAUUUUCAAUUAUAAUCAUAGUAAGUAUUUUUUAUAUAUGUAAUUAUAUUAAAAUAAAUAGAAGUAAUUACUAAAUUAUUCAAAAAUUAGAAUAAUUAAAUUUAAUUAACUAAAAAUUUAAUUUUAGGUGGAUUAAUGAUGAUUGUGGGUGGAAAAAAAAGAGAUUAAAGUAAUAAAAAAAAAUUAGCUGGUGGGAGGGUAAAGGCAUAUAUUCCUCAAAAGCAUCUGCCCACUAUUAUUACAACUAUAAAGCUUUGCAUUAUGAGAUUCUUUUUUUUAAAGCAAUAAAAUAAAAUAGUAAAAAUACUAAAAUUAAUUUAAAAAAUAAAUAAAAAAUAAAUACCCUUUAGUAAGUUGAGCUGUCUCUUUUUUUAUGUGAGGAAAUUACAAAAAUGGGGUCUAUUAAGAAUUUUUUAUUAAUUGAUACACGAGGGAAAUUUUUUUUUUGGAAAGAAAAUAGUAAAAUUAAAUAGAAAAAAGAAGAGCUGAAUUUUUUAUUUUGAUUUUAAAAAAAUCAGAUUCAAAUUUAAUAUGAAAUCUUAAAAUUCUUAGAUACAAUAUAAAUAAACAAAUUAUUACAUCUAUUUGCCCAAAUUCAGACAUGUAAAGGUGCUUUUAAAUACUCUUGAGUUUAUAAAAAAAUAGAAAAAAAUAUUCAUAGAAUUAAAAUAAUAAAUUAUAUUAAUCGUUAUUAAUUCGACCAAAAUCGAGUUGAUGUGAAUUGUUAAUUAUAUUAAUCAGAUUAGUAUGGGUAUUGUUAUUAAUGUAGUAGGACGUGGGUUUGAGUGCGCUGAAACGCAUUAUUCUCCUAUUUAUUGGUUGAUGACGGGCUAUGGAUAAUUUAGGUAUUAUCCCAGAAAGAGCAGAUAUAAUCACAACCUUUACAUAAGGUCCAAGUUGUUGAUAUAGUAAGUAUAUAAGUAUUUACAAUUUGAUCCCCUUAUUUUAUAUAUGCUAUGCAAUAGAUUUAAGCUAAUAUUUAUUGCCCGAAUUGACAACUAAACCAAUCUAAGGACAUGAUCGAUAUAAUACUAAUAUUUUGAGAACUCAAUGAAUACAUAUCAAAUCCAAGUUGUCACAUAGCGGGAAUAUAAAUGUUUACAAUUGGAUCCAUUUGUUUUAAGUAUGCUCCUAAACAGAUUUGAGUUGACAUUUAUUCCCCGAACUAACAAUUAAACCAAUACAGGGACAUGAUCAAUACAAUACUAAUACUUCAAAAAUUCAAUUAAAAUAUUUGAAAUUUAGGGACCAUAUUAAAAUCCAAACAUAAUUUAAAGACGUGUAAUGCAAUUAACCCAAAGAAAUAAAAAUGAUAAUGUGAAUUAUUGAAAACAAGGGUAGUUUUGAACUUUUCCAAUGACUACAUUUCAUUUUCCUUUCACAACAGCUUAUUGUGAAUAAUGAAUUCGUCGUAUAUUUUCCAUUGAAAAUUCCCAUUUUCUUUUCCACUUCAAUUUUUUUCCCUCCCUAUAACAGCGACGAUCGAUUUUUAUUAAUUUUCUUUGCCGUCGGAUCUUUGGUUUUCCAUUUUGAUUCAAUCAGGUUAAGAUUUUUCUUUGAAAUUUUUUGAUUUUUUUUCCGUUUUCUCUUUCACUCUCAUUUAGAUCUGAUUUUUUUUUUGAAUUUGGAGUUUCGUUUGGAUUUCUCAUUUUAUAGAUCUAUUUUUCAUGUAUCUAAAUUCAGCUGAAUUUGAUCUCAUUUUGAUUGAUUUUUCCUGUUUUUUUUUUGAAUUCGUAAUUGUUAAAACUUCCUCGAAGAUUCUUAAUUAUAAGAUUUGAAGAUCUAGGGAUCUGUUAGAAAUAUUGGUCAAAAUCGUGAUAUCUAUCACAAAUGUCAUUAUAUUUCCUGUAAUUGAUCUUCAAUUUUUCCCUCUUUGAGUUCUUUGACUUUCCUUUGUAAUGUUUUCGAACUUAUAUGUUCAGUUGGAUUUAAUUAUAUUACUUUGUAUGCCUGAAAUUGGUUCAAGAUCUAAGCUUUUCCUUUUUUUUUCCCCCUAUUUCUUUAAUGUGACAGGAUUGCUUCGUUUUGAACCCAGGCGACGAUGAAGAAGGCUAUCGGUCAAACUGUUAGAGAGCUGUAAGUGUAUUGCUAGAUUCUAAUUCCCUUAUAUGAUAGCGUUGUUGAAUUUGUUUCAAAUAUUUUAUAGUUCAAAGCAAUAUUUUGGUACUAAAUUAUCUAUGAAAGAUGAUUAUUGGAAGUUUAGUCUCUUUUGAAUUAAUUUGUUUUAUUCCUGCUUAUCAGUAUCUGCUAUAAGCCUAUAACCAGUGGCUAAAUGUUUUAUUUUUCUUAUGUUUUUGCAGUAAGAGAGAGGUUAAUAAGAAAGUUCUCAAAGUUCCUGGAAUAGAGCAGAAGGUAAGACUACUCUAGAAAGUUAACGGUCCAUUUAAGUACUUAAAAGGUGAUUGUUGCAUAAUUGUAAGUAUUGAUGAUUGGUAGGCAAGGGGAUUUAAUAAACUAUCUAGAUACUGUUUUGAUCGAUAUCAUAUUUAAAAUAUGAAACUAUGAAUGUGAUUCUAACUCUGAUACCAACUCUAGUAAUGGGUCAAUAGAAACUGGAGAGAAGUAAACGUGAGAUUCUACUACUUAGGUUUGAGAUUGAGAACUUGUUUAAAAUUAAUGAAUUCUUGGAUUAGUAACCUGAGUGGUAUUUAUUUUAUGAUGGUUAGUUUCCUACUAGUCAAAGGCUUACGUAUGCCGCCUUUUAACCAAGUACUAUAAGGAAUGGGGACAUAAUAGUAAAAAGUACAAAUGGCUGAUUUGGUUUGGGAGAAGAGUUUGCUGAUCUAUGUUGUUGACAUUCAGCGGCUGCCUGUUGCAGGCUAGUUUGAUGUUUGUUUGAAUGUUUUGGAGCACUUAAUGGAAGGUUUAUCAAUGGACUUAUUCUUACAUUUGCUAAAGGAUCUUUAUUUUUCAUAUAAAUGUCUUAUUAAGUUUGGUUAGGUACAUAUGAUGCUCUGGCUGAGCUGAAUCUUGAUAGAAUUUAUUAGUUCCAAACUAUUUUUUCAAUACUUCUUUUUUGUCCUUUUGGCAAGGAGGGAAUUGUCAUUCAAAGUUGUUAGCUUUAAUAAAUAUAGUAUUCUUUCACAACAGAAGUCUCUAUGCGGCUAAGCAAUAACAUUACUUGUAAUACUAUUGAAAUUUAAUUUAUCCGCUUGAAAUAAUUUUUUUUUUUCAUUUUGUCUUUCAGGUUCUUGAUGCUACCAGUAAUGAGCCAUGGGGUCCUCAUGGAUCACUUCUUGCAGAUAUUGCAAUGGCUACAAGAAACUAGUAAGCUUGAGAGAAGUUAUGUAUGAUUUUCAUUCCAUAUAUGUUACUUGGAAAUUCAUUCCUAUAAAUAUUCAUGCAGUCAUGAGUAUCAGAUGAUCAUGACAGUGAUCUGGAAACGUCUAAGUGACACUGGAAAGAAUUGGCGUCAUGUCUACAAGGUCAGCAAAGAUUAGUUGCAUUCAUCAUCAGUUUAUUUCCUCUGCAACAUGUAAAAAGUAUCAUACAGGAAUCUCAUGUAAUUGUUAGCAUUUUAUCUUUUUAACUAAAUCUCCGUCUUCAAUUUUGCAACAAUCAUUGUGUUCUAACACAUAUUUUGUGUACUGUAUUCUCUUUUCUUUUUUGGUAUGUAUUUUACGUUUCUUCAAUGUACCAAUGUACUAAGGUAUUUGCUUUAUUGAGCUUCAGGCUCUGACUGUUCUGGAGUACCUUGUUGGUCAUGGAUCGGAGCGUGUCAUAGAUGACAUAAGAGAACAUGCUUAUCAAAUAUCGGUAAUUUCUGUUUCUUGAUUCUGUAUGACAACUUUGCAUGCAGUGUUUAUGAUACAAUCUGCAGCUUACUUUUUUUAAAUGUUUUGGUCUGAUUAAAUAAUUCUUCCAUGUUACAGGCUUUGUCCAAUUUUCAGUACAUUGAUUCCAGUGGAAGGGACCAAGGUAACAAUGUCCGAAAGAAAUCUCAGAGCCUUGUGGCCCUAGUUAAUGAUAAAGAAAGAAUAAUUGAAGUAAGACAAAAGGCUGCAGCUAACAGGGACAAGUGAGUCAGCAACAUGCCUUUUUGCUUUAAUUUUGUUGCUGAGUUCAACCAUCCUCCUGAAUAAGUGUUUUUACACUGGCAUUGACAAAUAUUGCCGGUUAUUUUUGUUCUAUGCUGCUUUUAACAUCACAUUCACAAGCAUGCUGACUUUCAACAUAAUAUUUACUUGUGUGUUGUCAACAUGAAAGUACAUCUGUGCAAGAGCAUUCAUACUUUCAACGUGGCAAGUACAUGUUUCAUGAGCAUGCACAUAUACAGAUGCACUUUCUCUCUGUUAGGAAAAUUCAUGUGUUAUGUGGUAUCUGUUGUUCACAUAGCAGUUGAGAGACACACACGUAUGCUGUAUGUGAGUUUCAGUUGGACGCAUCAUUAAUAUGUCCACAGAAAAUUGAUUUGAGAUUUUGAUUAAAGUGGUUUUCUCUCCUAAUGGGCAGCUGUAUUUUCACUUUCUUGCCAUUAAUUGUUGGAUAUUUCUUGUUCAUCUGUUCACGGUGGACAUCCAUAUAUUUUGUUCUUUCUUGAGUGAUAGACACAAUCCUUUUAGAAUAUUAAUGCUGAACUGGAACUCAAAUAGAAAAAGGUUUAUACUUAAUCUAAUCUCAUUUCUAUUUGAGUUCCAUUUUUGUAAGUUCUGAUAACAUUUCUUGCUCGUGAUCAGUGGGAUCCGUGUGAUUUGCUUUUAUUCUUCUUUGUUAAAUAUUUUGCUUUGGAGUUGCAUUCUCUAUAUGAGAUUAUAGAUUAAUGCAGAAUUUGAAUCCUUCAAUAAUGCAUUACUGCUUGUUCUACAGAUUUAGGAACACAUCAACAGGUGGAAUGUAUAGGCCGGGUUCAGGGGGAUAUGGAGACAAAUAUGAUUAUGAUCGUUAUGGAAACAAGGAUUAUGAUGAUCAAAAUGGUUAUGGAAGAGACCGGGAAUAUGGCUAUAGAGAUGAUGAUCGGUAUGGCAGAUAUGGGGAUUCAAACAGUCGUGAUGGAGAUCGUUAUGGCAGAGAUUAUGAAGACCGCUACGGCAGAGAUGGUGACAGGGAUGAUGACUACCGAGGUAGAAGUAGAAGUGUUGAUGAUUAUCAAUAUGGCACAAGAUCUAGGAGCUCUGAUAGAGACCGUGCUUUUGAUGAGGAUGGUGCUUCUUCUCGGUAUGCACUUAUAUACUUUUGAAUUUUGAAACCUUUUUGUUGCUAUGUUCUUCUUGGAAACAUAUUAAUGUUGAUUUAAUUAUGUUAACCUGGUCUCAAUUUUUUGUUGAAGUAAUUAAUUUUCCCUUUCUUUAUGGGUAUCAUGAAAACCAUACAAAAUAGGUGUAUAUAUUAAUAGUUUGUGUUGCACUAGAGUAGGAUUCUUAAAUGGUGCAUUCACUUGGUAAUUUUCAAUGCAACAUUUCUAUCCAAAUGAGGUUUUGGUUUUCAUUUCACCAAGUCAUGGAAGAUUUUAUAGUUAUGAUCCUUCCUUGUCAAUUUCAAGCAUACUGCUCAUACUUUCGUGGUAGGCUUGAGACAGAAUGUAAUUAGCAUGACUAUCAUCUCUGCAGGGGCAGUGGUGAUAGAGCUGAUGAUCACUCUCAAGAUGGAAGGUAGCCAUGAGUGGAUGCAGUCAAAACUUGUAUUAGUUGAUAUAUAUAUUUUCUCAAAGGAGAUCACAGCCUAGGAAUAAAAGAAGAGAUUGCAAGUGCUGAGAUUCAAACUCUACACUUGUUGGAUGCCACCUCUUAUGGGUGUCUGCAUGAACCAACUAGGCUAACCUUUGAUUCUAGUUGAUCAAAUUUUUUAUUCGAUUGGUUUCUUGUUUCUGAAAUUUUCUGAAUAUAUAUAUUUUGUUCAGGCGGCAUGAGCGGAAACAAUCUGAACAAAAUAUUGGUGCUCCUCCUAGUUAUGAAGAAGCAGUAACUGAGACUCAGAGUCCUGUCCGUAGCGAAAGGUAUUGCUUUUCACCUUAAACUCUAGAGACAUCAGACAUGUUGCUUGGAACUGUGUUUUGGUUUGUUGCUGCAUUCUGAAAAGAUGUUUGAUAAUAGGGUUGGCCAAACUUCUGUAGCAGCUGCUCCUCCUCCUCCUCCUACCAAUAAUCCUAACCAAGCAGCCUCUGAUCUUAGUAACUCAGCUUCUCCUCCAAAUCAACAAGCAGAGGCUUUUGAUGAAUUUGAUCCCCGUGGUUCAUUUUCAGGUAUAAAAUUCUAUAUAAAUUCUAUGGUUUCUAUGUUCCAAUUGCAUUACCUGGAUGGUCAUUGUUUAUUGCUUUGAUGUGCUGGUCUUUUGACUUGAACUAUCAUCAUGCAAAGUGUAAUUUUCUGAGUUGUCUAAAUAUUAAGUUUGACAUGCUCUGUUGCUUCACAUUCCAUGCUAUUUUUAAAUUUUUUUUUUGUGGUAGUUUUUAGUGUAUUUUAUAUCUGCAAAAUGUAUAUUUCUUGCCAAAUUGCGGAUAUUACUUUCUGGGGAGGUAAGCCUUUUGCAGUUGGUUAUCUGGUAGUGACAGUUUUAGUGUUUUGAUGACUUCUUAUUCAAUUUUGUGCUAUGUUUUCUCAAUCCAUAUGAAAUUACUGGUUGGAGUUUCAUAUGAUUGCAUGGAACUUAGUUUGGAAUCUUUUGAUGCCAUUCCAUUUAUCCCUUGUAACUUGAACUUAUUAGUUCAUCUUUUGCUCAUCAAUUAUAGCUGCCCCAACUCCUGCUCCUGCUCCUGCUCCUGCUGCUGUUCCCACUGCCACAGCUGUCCCUGCUACUGCUGUUCCCACUGCUUCGACUAAUGCUGAAAUAGACUUGCUGGAUGCUCUUUCAGAUUCAUUUGCCAUUGUGCCAGUUACACCUGAAAUCCCUGCUACUGAGGUUGAUGCCCCUGCAAACUCUGGUGCUAUGCCCACCUUUGCUGCUAAUCAGCCGGCAUCUAAUUUUGGAAAUCAGGUAACAUGGUCCAUUUAAUAUUGAGGGAUCAUAUACAAGGAUUUCAUUAAACCUGUCUGCAAUAUGUCUAUUUAUGGUACAACGAAUUUGGAUAAGCUGUUCUGUUGUUGCCUAAUGUGUUUCAUUUUUUCUUUCAAAGUUGUAUAUUUGAAAAGCACCUAAAAAAAAUUGAUAGUUAAAAAUGAAUGAAUUAUUGAAAUCCUGUGUACAAUAGAAAGGGUAGCAUAAAGGUAUUAGGGUGAAUUUGUUGCCAUACUAAAAUUUUUAGGGGAUAUUGUUCCUGAUUCAGGGUUUUGAUGAUCCAUUUGGUGAUAAUCCUUUUAAAGCUGUCGCUUCAACUGACUCUGCCCCAGCUGUACGACAAAUUUCCACUUCCAUGCCUACUUUCCAGCCUGCUACAAACCAAAAUGAUGUAGCUCCUCAGCCACCUUCUGCAAGUUCCGAGACUGUCACAAAUUUUGACUUUGGGAACUCAUUCUCUGCAAAUGCUUACUCUGCACCCAAUAGCACAAACUCCCAGUUUCUUCCUCAAGAAAUGUCAACUCAAAAUCAGGGAAGUGCUUAUAGCCAAACAACACAGCCAGGUAUCUAUGGUCAACAGGCACAAUCAAGUGCUAAUAUGUACAGCCAACCGACACAGCCAAGUGCUAAUCCAUACGGCCAACCUGCACAGCCUGGUGCUAACGCAUAUGACCAAGUUGGACAACCUAGUUCUAAUGCAUAUACCCAAUCUGUGCAGCCGAGUGUUAACCUUUAUAGCCAACCGCCACAGCUGGGUGCUAAUCCCUACAGCCAACCUGCACAGUUUAACUCUGGGAACCUCUCACGGCAGGGUUCUCUUGUUCCAGUUUCUUCACAGGGUGCUCACCAGAUCACAAAUUCACCCGCUGUACAAAAUAAUAAUGAUUUCCUAAGUGGCUUAAUUUCAGAACCAGGGUCAAAGCCAGCACAGACAGUCACUCCCACAUCAACAGGAGCACUUGCUAUAGUUCCACAACCCUCAAAGGAUAAAUUUGAGCUUAAGUCGGCGGUUUGGGCUGAUACAUUAAGCAGAGGAUUGGUGAAUUUGAACAUAUCUGGACGUAAGUAAACAUUCUUCUUCUCUAAAAAUUGUCAUCAAGUAUGUCCUUUCUGCAUGAUCUAACUUUAUUGUUUUCGGUAUGCAGCUAAAACAAAUCCGUUGGCUGAUAUUGGAGUCGACUUCGAUGCUCUUAAUCGGAAGGAAAAAAGGAUGGAAAAACCUGCCCCAAAUGCAGUGACAUCUACAGUUACAAUGGGUAAAGCAAUGGGAUCUGGGUCUGGGAUUGGUCGUUCUGGUGCUACCACUCUUAGACCUCCCGCAAAUCCUAUGAUGGGUUCUAGUAUGGGUAGCAUGGGCAUGGGAAUGGGUGGUGGACCUGUUGGAGGCAUGGGAAUGGGAGGAGGCUAUGGUGGUAUGAAUCAACAACCAAUGGGCAUGGGGAUGGGGAUGGGGAUGAACAACAUGGGCAUGAAUCCAGGCAUGGGGAUGAAUAUGGGAAUGGGACAAAGACCCCAAAUGCAAGGAAUGCCUGGCGGUUAUAACCCUAUGAUGGGAUCUGGAGGCUAUUCUCAACAGCCAUACGGUGGUGGUUAUCGAUGAGAAUGGAUUCCCAUCCCAAAGAAGAGGAGUAAGGAAAUUACAUACAAGGCUGUGAUAUAAGGGUAAAAAUGAGAUGGGAAAAUAGCUAAAACAUUAGAUGUGGGGAAUGGAAUCCCAAAGUAGAAGCAGUAGAGUCGCACAUUUGUGUUGGCAGAUCGGAACCAUGUUUUUUAUUCAUAUAAUUGUCAUUCUUGGUUAAGCUAUUGCAGUGUUUGGGCCAUAAUCACUCCUCCCAUUGAUUACUGGUUUGAGCUGUUGUGAAAUUGUGUGGAUGAUGAUGACCUUUCUCGGCUUUGCAUUUUUUGUCUUAAUAUUCUUCCCUAUAAUAUAUAUAUUUUUUAUGGUAAAAAAAAUAAACUAAUCCUUCAAUUUUAUUUGAAACUGUAGUAAUUUCACUUUAUCUGUUACAGAAGCAGCAAUAGCUAGAUUGACGAAGCCUGUUGAAUUUUUUCUUUUCAAAAUUAUUUGCUAAGGUAUGAUGAAGCUUCAUUUCUGUAAUUAAGGUCCAAUAUCUUACUUUAUUAAUUUUUUUAAUCAAUUUCUGCAAUAAAAUUUUAAUAUGCAAUCCAUUAGAAAUAUGUUUGUGUUUUUUUGAAAGAGACAAGUCCCUGUUACUUGAAAUAUUCGUGUUCUUUAUCAAAUACAUAGAGCUGAAGCAUCCACAACAAAUACAUAAUCAAAUGCUAAACCUAAUUUGAAUGUGCAGCAAAAGAGAGAGAAUUUUAAAUAAAGUUGUAUUUUCAAGUAAAUUUAUAUAAAGAAACAAAGAAAAGCAUUCAAAAAAAAAAAUAAAAAAUCUAAAAUCAACCAUCAAACAUCACAAGUUUCAGCUUCACAUUAUUACAUGACUUCUAUUUAAAACUUAAAUGGUCAGAAAAAUUAAAGUACAAUGACAACAACUAACAUCCCAAGUAACAAGAUAAAGAUCAGAUCCUGUUUUUCAGUCUUAGAGUUUUCUUGUGUUGGAACUAAGAACAAAGAUGAAUGAAAAAUAACAGAAGCUUGAGCUUGAAGGCUCGAUGGCUUGCUGAGCAAACAAAACAGAAUCGGGCUUGAAAGACAAGAGAAAACAAGAAAAGAGAGUUUUUUAUGAUGAAUCUUUGAUGAAUUUUUCAUUAACUUGAAAGAUGGCAUAUUGCCAAUACAUAUACCAGACAAAAGCUGGUCAAGAUGAAACAAAGUUACCUAAACAUCUACCUAACUCCACUAAGUAGCAUUGUAACUUGUUAAACAAAACUUGCACACUUGGUAAAGCUGAUUUAUCAGCUCAAACAUCAACAAAUUACAUCAAGUACAUUAACAAAUUAGUUCUAAUCUAACUAAGUUACUAUCAUUUGAAAGUAACAAAAUGAACAGCAGCAUGAACUUCAGCUGCAACUGCUUGGCUCGGGCAACUUCUCUGCUUCUUGUCUGCAUGCAGGCCAGCUUCAACAGUUUCAUUUUUUCUUCUAAAGUUGUAUAUUUGAAAAGCGUCUAAAACAAAAUUGAUAGUUAAAAAGGAAUGAAUUAUUGAAAUCCUGUGUACAAUAGAAAGGGUAGCAUAAAGGUAUUAGGGUGAAUUUGUUGCCAUACUAAAAUUUUUAGGGGAUAUUGUUCCUGAUUCAGGAUUUUGAUGAUCCAUUUGGUGAUAAUCCUUUUAAAGCUGUCCCUUCAACUGACUCUGCUCCAGCUGUACAACAAAUUUCCACUUCCAUGCCUACUUUCCAGCCUGCUACAAACCAAAAUGAAGUAGCUCCUCAGCCACCUUCUGCAAGUUCCAAGACAGUCACAAAUUUUGACUUUGGGAACUCAUUCUCUGCAAAUGCUUAUUCUGCACCCAAUGGCGCAAACUCCCAGUUUCUUCCUCAAGAAAUGUCAACUCAAAAUCGGGGAACUGCUUAUAGCCAAACAACACAGCCAGGUAUCUAUGGUCAACAGGCACAAUCAAGUGCUAAUAUGUACAGCCAACCGACACAGCCAAGUGCUAAUCCAUAUGGCCAACCUGCACAGCCUGGUGCUAACGCAUAUGACCAAGUUGGACAACCUAGUUCUAAUGCAUAUAGCCAAUCUGUGCAGCCGAGUGUUAAUCCUUAUAGCCAACCGCCACAGGCAGGUGCUAAUCCCUACAGCCAACCUGCACGGUUUAACUCUGGGAACCUAUCACGGCAGGGUUCUCUUGUUCCAGUUUCUUCACAGGGUGCUCACCAGAUCACAAAUUCACCCGCUGUACAAAAUAAUAAUGAUUUCCUAAGUGGCUUAAUUUCAGAACCAGGGUCAAAGCCAGCACAGACGGUCACUCCCACAUCAAUGGGAGCACUUGCUAUAGUUCCACAACCCUCAAAGGAUAAAUUCGAGCUUAAGUCGGCGGUUUGGGCUGAUACAUUAGGCAGAGGAUUGGUGAAUUUGAACAUAUCUGGACGUAAGUAAACAUUCUUCUUCUCUAAAAAUUGUCAUUAAGUAUGUCCUUUCUGCAUGAUCUAACUUUAUUGUUUUCGGUAUGCAGCUAAAACAAAUCCGUUGGCUGAUAUUGGAGUCGACUUUGAUGCUCUAAAUCGUACUAUAUCUUUAUAAAUUUAAAAAAAUUAAAUCAAUUUUUUCUAAUUUUUUAGGGAAUAAAAUACAAUUUUAUCAUAUAUUAGUUUAAGGAAUUAUUUUAAGGAAAUUGAUCGGUUUAGAAUGUGUUACAAUGGUUAGUUUAAGGAAAUUACGCUGAUUAAUUCCCUUUUUUAUUUCUGAAAGUCCACUUAAUUUCUUUUUUUAGUAAGGGCCAUUAAUAUUUUUGCUAUAUUUUAAUUGAUAUUAUUAGCAACAAUUAUGUAGUGGAUAAUAGCUUUUUAGACGUACGACUCAUCCACUUUUUAUUUGUGAAGGGUUGGCAAGUAAAUUUCGAUAUAUUCUAAGGGAAUAAAAUAAGAUUACGAAUUAUAUGACAAAAAUAGCUACUGGAGAUUUAAAUACGAUUUACACUUUUAAAGAGCCUCCAACGAGUGUUCCAAUAUUAUUGUUGGUUGAUCUUCAAGAACUCGUAAUCAUGAGACUUUCUCAUUAGAGUUACGUUGAAAAGUUGAUUUCUGCUAUUUUUUUACCAAAAGAAAAAUAUUUUUGGUACCCAUAUAGAUAAACUAGGUGUUAAAAAGACUGGUAUCAUUUAAGAUGUUGAAGCCACCCGUUUUUUUAAGGUGAAAGGUUUUAUAACGUUAAGGAUUGAAAUGGGCCUAAAAAAAUAUUUAAAGACCAAAAUGAGAAAAACGAUAUAAUUUAAGGACAAAAAAUUAAUUUUUUUUACUUCCCCCCUUUUUUUGUAAUUACAACCUUAAAAAUUCCAUUUUUAGAAAAACAAACCUACAUGCUCUUUCGUUUCUAAUUGAAAUAAUUAAUUUUUAACUUUUUAAACUAACUAAUAACAUUGUAAAAAUAUACGAUCAAAUUAUGUUAAAAAGUAAAGUUUUUAAACUAAAAAUGAGAAAUAAGCAUAGUAGAGGGACUAAACCCUAUAUUUGACCCCUUUUUAUAAUGUAAAUUAGGAGAUUAGGUAGCAAGUGUCUAUGACCUCUCAAGUUCCAGAAUGGGCUGCAUAGAGCAGCAAUAGGAGCUUCAACUCUCUAACAGGUUCUGAUGCUUCUAUUAAAACAUGGUUUAAAGAACACAGAAAUCAGGAAAUUAGAGUUAAAAUAAUCAAAUGUUCACACAAAUGCCAACUUAAAACAUGCUACCCUUACAUUUCAACUUCAAAUACGAAACCCUAGUUUGGAUAAUAAUUACAAUCAGCAUUACAUGUAAUAAAAUACUGUGUUCUCCGCCAAAGAAAAGUGGUAGUUUUGGAGUAUAGUCACCACAACGCUACCUUAGUCCUCCCAAUCUGAAGAACUGAAAUUGUUAUCGUGGACACCUAAAAUGGACAAUGAAGUUACAUCCAGUAUAUUCCAAAGCCAAAUCUAAACAGGGUUCACCACACUCACUCCAGUUCGGAUAGUAAUAAAUCUUCUUAACAACAGUGGCAGAAUGCUAAUGAAUGUCCUCACAGACUUUAAUGAUACUCCCGAGUUUGAGAAAUGCAUAUUUACCAACGACACAACUGACAUGAGCAGAAGUAUCACAUGUUGCACAAUGAUAAAACCAAAGGUUUGGGUCUCGACUUUCUUCACAAACAUCACAAAAAUGACUUUCUGAAUAAUUGUUAUCAUCAUGAUAAGUGACUGAAAGAAGAUGUUUAUCAUUUUUGGGUUGGGAUGUAAUAGGCAACGAAAAACACCUAUGAUGUAAAGAAAAAUCACAAUCCUUACAACGUGUCAAACACUAUACUAUUGCAUAAGAACAGAGAACAAAUUGAAAAAGAUGAAUUUACUAAGAGAAUUGUUUAGUAUUCUUUAUCUACUUGAAUCAAUACACUGCUAGUGUUUAUAUAUUUGUUUUCUUGAGUAACUGCUGCUAACCAACUAUAUACUAGACUAAGUAACAGAAUGAUCUAAUAGACUAACAACCUCUAUACUUUAACAUUCACCCAGCUUCUAAAUAGGUAAAAUCCGAAGUAAACUUCGAAAUCGAGCAAAAAUAGAGACAGACAAUGAUUUUGUGAGAAUAUAAUAGUUAACUCAAACUAAAAUGUAACUUGAGACAAACAAAAAUAAGUUAACCCAACUCGCCAUGACCUCCUCUCAAGCUCGACUUCAAAUUUUUUAAGCUUUGGUUAGUGGGGUUAAAUUUCACCCUCCAAUGUCCCUUGAAUUGAUACAACAACAAAUUCUGAUAAAUUGCACCACAAGGCAUCCUAUGAUUGGUCCAUAUAUCAAGUAAUGUCAAAUUUUGAUAGAAGUAUCACAUUGAUUGACAAAAUUAAAGUUCAAGUAUUAAAUUUGAUAUUUUGAAAGUAGAAUCACCAUUAGAAGAUUCGAUAAAUUACAAGAAGCAUUUUAGUCAUUUUCCCAUAUGUAAUAUGAUUUAUCUAAACAUGUACUGUCUAAUUCAAGUAAUAUAAUGCACUUUUUUUGCAGUGUUUGGUUUUUCAUACUUGUAUCCUAUCAUUGUGAGUAUGUAUAUAUAUUUGGUAGGUCCCUUUAUUAUAGGAAUCGGAUCAAAUUAAUAUCUCUACUAUUACAUCGGUUAAUUUAGUCCCUAUAUUAUUACAAAGAAUUAAAUAAGAUCAAUUUUCAAAAGAGUUAAUAUUUACUAUUUAAAAAAUGUUUUUUUUUAUGAUUUUGUAGAUAAAAUGUUUUAUUUGGAGUUGAUUUGCAGAUGAAAAAAUAAUUUCUAUGAUAAUUUUCGAAUAGUAAAUAUUAACUCUUUUCCACUUUAGUCUUAUUGGGUGCAUUCCACUUUCUAACGAUUUUUGUAAUUAACUUCGGUAAUUUUUCUUGGUCUCUUAUGGCAUUUGUAAUUAAUUGCAUUAAGCUCAGAUCUCUUAUUCCUUCUAACAAUUUUUGUAAUAAAAUUAUAAGAUGUUAAAUCAUAUGAUAAGAUUGUUAUGCACAAAUAUGACUAGAAGACUUCUUUUGUGUGUUUUCUAUUUUGAAGGAGAUAUGUACUUGUUGAAACACACCAACCUGAAACAUUCUUGUCCUUUAAUGAAAUAAAAGAUGAAGCAAUGUAGUGCAAUUAGAAUACAUAGAGCUGAAGCAUCCACAACAAUUACAUAAUUAAAUACUAAAUGUAAUUUAAAUGUGAAUCUAAGAAUGAGAGAAAAAUGAUCUAAAAAAAAUUGAGUUUUUAAAUGAACUUAUAUAAAGAAACAAACAGCUGUUGGGAGAAUAUAAAGCAUCAAGCAAAGUCUUCAUGUAUGUAUAAUGGUCACUGGGCUAAAUCUUUUGUCUCUUAAUCUGUGCGGCCUUAGACGAUCCGUUCGCUCCAAACUCUCCUAAGCCAACCUUUACUCCCAAAAGUGAGGAUUCCUUUAGAAUUCCUCUAAAGUACCAAUUUGUAUAGCGGAAGCAAUUGUGCCAAAAGAAACUACAAAAGAACAAUAGAAAGCCACAGAAAGAAUGUACACAAAAUGUUUGAAUAAAUGCUCAAAGAAUUCUAUUACUUUUAAGAAUUCAACUUACAAAUGGAUUACCUACAAAUGAGGGAAGGCUCUCUAUUUAUAGUUGAGCUCUCCCAAAACCGACGGCCAAGAUCAAAUUACAUCGACGGAUGAGAUUAGCCUAUUCCUUAAUUUUAAGGAUUUAAAAGAUUACAUCAUAUCAAAUUAAAUCUACAUGAUAUGAUUCCCAUAUUUACUAAAAAUAGCUUAUGUUGCCACAUCUUCAUUAACGGACCAAUCAGACUUCAAUCUGACAGGCUUCUCCAACAAUUCUUGGAAUCGAGCUAGUUCUCGUGACAGACUUCAAUCUAACAAGCUUUACACUUUGGGCCGCGACAGAAUCACAUUCUCCAAUUACAAUAAAUUCUAAAUUCAACAAUCAAACAUCAAUGCAAACUUCACUAGUGUUGGCUCCAGAUUAUUACAUGAAAUUUAUUUAAAACUUAAAAGUAGGAAAAACCAAAUUACAUUGACGACAACAACUAACAUCACAAGUAACAAAGCGAAGAUCAAACUCUUUUUUUCAGUCUUAAGAGUUUUCCUACAAAUGAUUAGAUCUAAAUUGCUACAUAGGCCAGUCCCACCAACGGUGUAGAUAACGAGGUGCUACACAAUUCCAGUGGACAAUAUACUUGCACUCUGACUUUAAGCAUUCAAGAGCCAGAUCUUCACAAGGCUUACGACAUUUAUCACAAUUUGGGUAGUAAUACAUCUUCUUCGCAAUGGUGAGUGGAUGUGGAUGAUAUCUUACAUUUUCAAUGGUCUGGAAUUUGACAAAUGGAUAUUUUCCAAGAACACAAUUAACAUGAGCAGAAGUAUCGCAUUUUGCACAAUGAUAAAACCAACAGUUUGGAUCUCGACUUUCUUCACAGAUAUCGCAAUAAUGAUGUUCUAAAUAAUUGUUAUCAUCAUAAUCUGUGAGUGAAAGAAUAUGCUCAUCUCAUUUGUGAAGAACUGUAAUUGGAAGUGAAAAGCAUCCAAUAUGUAGCACAAAAUUGCAAACCUUACAACGAAAUGCUGCCCUUGUAGUAUAACCACAAGCAUUGCACUUCCCAUUGUAGUCUCUGUAGUAAAAGAGGGGGUGUUCAUGUUUCAAACAUAUUUGAGCACCAGGAGUAAGAGCAAGCACACAUUGGAGGCAUUUUUUUGCUUUACAUCCACAACAUUCAUAAGCAAAGGCAUUACACACAUUCAGACAUUCUCGACACCUAAAAACCCUGUCCGAAAUAAGGGCAAGAGGUUUUUGGCACAAAUGAUGCCCAACAUCCUUCAUCUUAGGUAAUUCAGCACACGCUUUAUGAAGGAAGAAAUCACAAAAUGAACAAGAGUAAAAUGGUCCCGAGAUUGGCAACAAACAUCCGUCACAACCAUUCUCAUUCUUUCCAACAACGGGACUUAACAUUAGAUUAUGUAUAUGCAAGAAAUGUUCUAUUUUUGUAGCUUCUCCAGCAUCGUUGCUCUCUAAAACAGUGAUGGAACUUUCAUAGGGCAUCUCAUCUUCAUCUUCUGGUGAAACUAUUGAAUAUGAGCGUUCAUCCUCUGUCACACAAUGCACAUGGAAUAUAGCAUUGCACUUUGAACAAUAGUAACUACCAUACUCUGUAUUGACUUCAUCAUGGCAUAUCAUGCAAUUCAAAACUCCAAAAUCUUCUAUGUGAUGGAAAUAUGUGUGAAGAAGGCGAUGGUCAUGCCACUUACUUUUGAUAAUGCGAGGCCAUGAAAUGCAAUUUUUAUGGAUUAUAAUGUUACACGUACCACAUCUAUGGGCAACAUGAUUUCCUUCGGUAUCACAAGUGAAUGGAACUUGUCUAAAAACCAAGGUAAAUGGAUGUUCAUGAUUUGUACUCUUAAUAACUUGUAAUGGUGAUUGUGAUGCGCAUUCAAUGUGAACAACCAACUUACAAGGAGAGCAACCAUAAACAAAUCCUACAGCCUUCCGAUUGGUUUCUCCGCAUAUCUUGCAAGAGAGCCGUUCGCUAUUAAAUUGUAGAGCAAGAGGAUGCUUGCGAUGACACACAUGAUUCAGUUUGAAAGGAAGCUUAGCGCAUUUCUCAUGUAAAUUAAAUCCACAGGCAGGAGAGAAGUGUGUAUACUUUGCUAAUGGUUCCCAGCAUCCAAAGCACUCUCUAACAUCUUCAAGUUCUUCAUCACCAUUUUCAUCUUCAAGUUCUUCAUGACCAUUUUCAGUGGAAAUCAAAGGAUGUUGAAGGGCAACAUGCUCAAGCUCUUUCAAAUUAUUCUCAGCAAUAUUAAAUGUAAACAAAGCACAUUUAAUAUGAAAGUCAAAAUGGCAAGAGCAGUGAUAAACAAACUCAUUUCCGCCUUUAUCGCAAAAAUUGCAAAUGUACCGUCUAGAUGAAUAAGGUGCAUUUUGCAUAAGAAGAAGAGGAUGAUGAGGAUGAAAAGGAUGAUUAAGCUCCAAAGGUGCCUCGGCACAUACCUUGUGAAGAUAAAACCCGCAGUGCUCCGCACAGCAAAAACAUGGAGCAGACACCUUCUCCCCACACCUGGAGCAAUCAGUUACACCACUUUGAUUAUGGAUCAGCUGGUCUUGAUUCAACAUAAGAAGCAGGGGAUGUUGGUGGCCGUAAUUGUUAGACUCCUCCAUUUCUCCUUCCCCAAGCAAUAUAAAUAAAGGAAAAUCUUGACUCUGGGAGCAAAGUUUGAAUGGGAAAACAAGAUUACAAGCGAAGAAAGAUAAUGAUUGAGGAAGUGGGAGAGCAUUUGAUAUUUAGAGGCAGAGGUCAACUCAAUUAGCUAGUGAAUGCUUUUAUUCAAGAUUACACAUGCUGUUCAUGGUGGGUUGAUUUGAUAUUCAUGAGAUUUAUUGAAAUCAAUUUUGUUUACAGUUUCAGCCUUCAAUUAUUGUAGCGAACCACAACAAGAACUUUAAACAACUCUACCCAACUUUCAUCUAACACAUACAAGAGCAAUUAAUGAGUUGUCGGGAUAAGUUUGGCUAUCUUUUUACACAAGAUAGGCAGUGGAAUAUUAGGGGGUUAGCAGGACUCGCACUCUUUAAAAUGAAAAGUUGUUCAUUUUCUUAAAAUUUUAAAUUAAUAAUAAUAAAAUUAUAUUUUUAUUUUUCUUAAAACCAAUAAAAUUUUAAUUUAAUUUUUUAAAAACUAUAAAAAUAAUAAUUAAAAAUUUAAAUUUAAAUUUACCCCUUUAAAAUUUUUUUCUUCUUUAAGUAAAAGCUAGAUACUAAUAAUCAUUUUCUUUUUUUACAUUGUUCUAAACUUCACUUUUUUGAUUAAAUGGGAGGCUAAUAAAAUCACUUUAAAUCUCUCUAUCUGAGAUUUUUUUUUUCUGUAUGGAUUGUUUUUGUCAAAAAUAUUAAACCGGAAAAUUGUUGGGAGUCAUGUUUUAUAUCUAAAGUAAUAAAUACUUCAUGAUUUAUUGUCGUGCAUAUCUUAAAAAUAUAUAUAAUAAUUAAAUGCAAAACAAAGCUAAAAAAAGUUUUCUAUCGCAUUAAAAAAUAUUUAUAUUAAAAAAUUACUAUCAUAAAUAUAAUAGAGUUAAUUAUUACUGGAUUGGUGAUUUAAUAUAAAUAUAAAUAUAAUUAUUUAAUAUAUAUAAUUAAUAUAAUUUUUUUAGGAUUAAAUCUCAAAUUAUAUUUGAACUUUGAUUUAAUGUGUAAUUGUGUAUAUGAACUUUAAUUUGGUGUAAUUAUACACAUGAAACUCUAAUUGUGGUUCAAAUGUAUUCUUCUAACUUUAAUUUUUGGUUUAAUCAUGCACAUUUAAAGAAAUAAAUAAAUCAAUUAAUUUCUAUAUUAGAUAAAUAUAAUUAUUUAUGUAUGCAAUGUAAUGACCUGAAAGCCAUGGGUAUCGGAAAGUGUAUUUUCGGGUCUCCGUUUUCGGAAAACGGAUCCGUAAAUAUUUAAUAAAAAUAUUUACGAAGUUAGUUGUGUGGUUAAUUAGAUUUUGAUUAGCUGAAUUUGCUUAAUUUAAGAGUAAUUAGGUGUAAGGACGGUAUAGGAAGAAAGUUAAAUUAUAGAUUAGAGAAAAGUGAAGGGACUAAAUAAGCAAUUAAACCUCAAAUUAACAAGUGUGUGGUAUUGGUAAUGACAUGUGUAACAUUUAAAUACAAACAUUUAUAAUAAUUAUUACUUUCUUAUUAUUUAAGUAAAUAUUAUUAUAUUAUUAUAUUAUUAUAUUGUAUUGUUAUAAUAAUUAAAACAUAAAAUAAAUGAAAUAAAAAGAAUAGAAAGAAAAGAACAAAGUAGAACGAAAUAGAGAAGAAAAAGAGAGAAAGAAAAAUGAGAAGAAAAAAUUAGGGUUUUCAAGGGUUUAAAGCUUAAUUGGUAAGUCAAUUUAGUCUAUUUUCUUGUAAUUUUUAUGUUUUUAGAAUCCUAGUAUUAAAUGCUACUUAACCUAUGUUGAAAUUUAAGAAAAUAUUGAAUUUUUAGAUGUUGUUCAUGUUGAAUAAUUUAAGUAUUUGUGAUUAAAUUGAUAACAUUUUAAGUUAGAAAUGAAAAAAGGAUUGAAUUGUAAAAUAAAUUAUAAGUGUUGAGUAUUAGGGACUAAAUUGUAAAAAUUUAAAAUUUAGGGAUUUGAGUGAAAUUAGAGAGUUGAAUUUAGUCUAACGCGGAAAUUGAAUGAAAAUAUGGAAUUGGUUUUGAAGAAAUAAAGUUAGUCUCGGUUUAGGGACUAAAUUGGAAUUUAUGCAAAAAUUUGAAUAAAAAUUGAAAUAUUCAAUGUGAAAAUUGUAUUGUAUUGAUGAAUUUUAAUUGUUUUAACUUUCGUAGCUAACGCUGUACCGGAAACUUUGACUAAAAAAAGGAAAAGAUAAAGUCGAUGAGGAGUAGCUCGGAAAUUCUAACUUGUAUUUCUAUAAUUUGAUUAAUUAUUACUUGUUGUAUUUUGAUUUAAAUGUUUAUGGUAAGUAAAUAAGGUAAGUGUUAGCAUUUUUUAUAUUGAAUUGAAUGUAUGUGAAAUUGUGAUUUAUGUGAUAAUUGAGUAUUAGAUAAUUGUGGCAUUAGAAAAGUGAAUUGAAACCCAAUUAACUGUAUCGGGCUAAGUCGGAUAUAAAUGGCAUGCCAUAAGAUUGAAAGAGUUUAGGGAUAGUUUGACUUUGAGUCGAUGAGACACUGGGUGUCAAAUUAUUACUUCGGAUAAAUUCGAUGAGGUACUGGGUACUAAUUUACUUCGGCAUGGCCAACGAGACACUGGGUGUCAACUUAUUGUUUUGAAUUAUCCGAUGAGGCACUGGGUGCCAAACUGGUGUGUUUUGGUUGGAUUCAUGUAUCCGUCCCAGUCUGUUUCAGGUUAAUUGGGGUUAUUGAAUAAAAUAGUGUUAUGAUUGAUAUUGAGUGGUGAUUUGAAAUAUGGUUAAAGACACAUGAUUUGUAUUUAUGAAUUGAAUAUGAAUGAACAAUAUUGUUGCUCAAAUGAUUUGUGUUCAUAUUGUGAAAAGCUAUCUCGGGUGGCAAAUGAUAAAAAUUGAAUGUGUUAUAAAUACCUUAUUUAUGAAAUGAAUAAUUGUAUGACUAUAGUUAUUGUAUGUUAUAUUAUUUUACUUUUAAGCAUUCGGAUUAUAGAAAUACCGCUGAGUUUAAACUCAGUGUAUGGUUUGUUUUCAGUGCGCAGGUUAGGUUAAAGUCAGAUUACCUAUUCAGCAUCCAUCAAUGACCCCGAAAUUAAAACGUGGUGAUGUAUAUUUCUUUUUGUGUCGGCAUGUACCUAGGAUGUCUUAUGCUUGUCAUUUUGGGAAGUGAAUGUAAGUGAUGUUAUAAGAUGAUAUUGGUUACUUAUAUACAUGAUUAUACGUGUUAAGUUGAGGUUUAAUAUGGAAUGUUUAAGUUGAUGCAUAAGUAAUAAGAGUGAUAUAGGCAAAUUUGGGUUGAAAUUGUUAUGAAUUUAGAAUUGGCUUAAAUGGUGUUUUAUUUGAUUGUUUUGAUAAUAUAUGUGAAGUACCUAUGAGGGUACAUUGGUUAGGAAACUAGGAUGACUGUUUUGACAUGUUUUAAAAGUAUUAAAUUGUGUUUUAAAGUGAUUGAACGAUUGGUUUUUGAGUUGCUUGGUGUUCAAGGUUGCAAGGAAAGGUAAAUUUGAUGUUUAAGGUUCAUUUUGAGUCCAUACGGCCAGGCAUAUGGGCAUGUGACUGGACCUUGUGAGACAUGUGUCUAACACAUGGGUGUGUGUCCCCUACACGUAGGAAAAUUUUUGAAAUUUUGCGAAAAAUUUCUGAAGUACCCAAUUUAGUCCCGAUUUGUUUCCAACACAUAUUUUGGGCCUCGAGGCUCAUAAAAGGGAUAAUAUGAUGUAAUUAUGAUGUGUAGGCUAGAUGAUUAUAUAAUGUUCAUAUUUGAUCUAAAAAGUCCGCUAAUGCUCCGUAACCCUGUUUCGACAACGAAUAUGGGUUAGGGGGUGUUACAGUGCAAUAUAUAAACAUAAAAUGAUCUUAUAUAAAUAAUUAUGUUAAUAAUAUAUAAGAAUUAGAUCAAAUCAAAAUUUCAUAUAUAAAAUUGCAUAAAACCAAAAGUUUAUGUAUGCAAUUGCAUAUUAAAUUAUAGUUAAUAUACAGUUUUGAAAUUUAUCCUUAUUUUUUAUAACAUAAUAUAUUUAAGGCAGGCUAGACUUGAGUCAAAAAUUAUUGUUAAAGAUUUAGCCUAUAUAGAAAACAGUCCUACAUUUAAACAAAAUAACACAGAAAUUAGGAAAUUAUAGUUUGAAUAAUCAAAAGGCAAUCAAUAAAUACGAAAGCUAGUUUGGAUAAAAAAAAACAAUCAGCAUUACAAGUAAUAAAGUCAGGACCACACUCUGGGUUCGCCGUAAAAGAAAAUUGGUAGUUUUGGACUAUAGUCACCUAAACUUCACCUUAGUCCUCCGAAUUUUAAGGACAUUUACCAUGGAUAAUGAAGUUGCAUGCAGUACAUUCAAGAGCCAAAUCUAAACACGGCUCACCACACUUACUGCAGUUCGGAUAGUAAUAAAUCUCCUUAACAAAAGUGAGAGGGUGCUCAUGAACGUCUUCUAUUACUUCAACAGUACUCCCAAGUUUGAUGAAUGGAUAGUCACCAAGAACACAACUGAUAUGAGCAGAAGUAUCACAUGUUGAGCAAUGGUAAAAUCAAAGAUUUGGUGGCAAUUCCAAUUAUGGGUUUCAGACAAAAGCUAUAGAGAUUCCUUUAUCAAAAUAACAAACUUUCCAAAGCAUUUACUUCACAAGGCAUGCAUGCAUACAUUUAAAGAAAAUAACACACAAAUUAGAAUACUAUAGUCUGAAUAAUCAAAAGGCAAUCAUUUUCCAACUCAAAACAUGCUUCCCUUACAAUACGAAACCCUAGUCUGCAUAAUAAUUACAGUCAGCAUUACAUGUAAUAAUGUCAGGACUCAAGAAAUUUACCAUGGAUAAUCGAAACAGGACUCACCACACUUACCGCAGUUCGGAUGGUAAUAAAUCUUCACAUUUAUAGGCAAAAGCAUUAGACAACCAAAGACGUUGUACACACUCAAAAACAUCAUUUGAAGUAAGGUCUAAUGCUGGUCCGCAACAACGAUGCCAAACAUGCUUUACUUAUGGUAACUCGGCGCAAACUUUAUGGAGAAAGAAACCACACUAUGUACAAUAGUAAAAUGAAGCCACGAUCGGUAACAACCACCCAUCACAACAUUUAUCACAACAUUUAUCAUCAUACUCGCCUACGCUGUCACUUAAUAUUAAGUAAUGAAUAUGCUUGAAAUGUUCUAUUACUGUGGCUUCUCAAGCAUCAUUCCUUUCAAGAACCUUGGUUAUGGAGCUGACAGACUCAUCAGGAGAUUCCUCAUCUUCAUUUUCUACUAUUGCAUAUGAAUCUUUAUACUUCAUUACACACUCCAUGUGAAAUAUAACAGGGCACUUUGAACAAUAGUAACUACUAUGCUCUGUAUUGACUUCAUCAUGGCAUAUUAUGCAAUCCAAAACUCUAAAAUCUUCUAUGCGAAGGAAAUAUUGGAGAAAAAGGCGAUGGUCAUGCCACUUGCUUCUGAUGAUGCGUGGCAAUGAAGCGCACUUUUUAUGGAUAAUGAAGUUGCACGCAGUACAUUCAAAAGCCAAAUCGAAACAGGGCUUACCACACUUACCGCAGUUCGGAUAGUAAUAAAUCUUCUUAACAACAGUGAGAGGGUGCUCAUGAACAUCCUCACGUAGUUUAAAGAUACUCCCAAGUUUGAGGAAUGUAUAUUCACUAAGGACACAAUUGAUAUGAGCAGAAAUAUCACAUGUUGCACAAUUGUAAAACCAAAGAUUUGGAUCUCGACUUUCUUCACAUACAUCACAAAAAUGGCUUUCUGAAUAACUGUUAUCAUCACCAUAAGUGAGUGAAAGAAGAUGUUGAUCAUUUUUGUAUUGGAAUGUAAUAGGCAAUGAAAAGCAUUUAUGAUCCAAAGAGAAAUCGCAAUCCUUACAACGGAACAACCCUUUGAUACCAUCUUUACCACAAGCAACACAUCGCCCUAUAUAUUUGGAGUAGAAAAGAAGAGGGUGUUUAUGUCCUAGACAUGUGCGAGCACCAGGUGUAAGAGCAAUUAUACAUCGAAAGCAUCUACGUGUCUCACAUUCUUCACAUUUAUAGGAAAAAGCAUUAGACAACCAAAGACAUUGUACACACUCAAAUACUUCAUUUGAAAUAAGGACUAAUGGUGGUCGGCAACGAUGAUGCCAAACAUGCUUUACCUUUGGUAACUCAACACAAACUUUAUGGAGAAAGAAAUCACACUGUGUACAGUAGUAAAAUGAAGCCACGAUCGGUAACAAGCACCCACCACAACAUUUAUCAUCAUACUCGCCUACUCUGUCACUUAAUAUUAAGUAAUGAUUAUGCUUGAAAUGUUCUAUUACUGUGGCUUCUCCAGCAUCAUUCCUUUCAAGAACCUUGGUUAUGGAGCUGACAGACUCAUCAGUUGAUUCCUCAUCUUCAUUUUCUACUAUUUCAUAUGAAUCAUUAUCCUUCAUCACACACUUCACGUGAAAUAUAACAGUGCACUUUGAACAAUAGUAACUACCAUGCUCUGUAUUGACUUCAUCAUGGCAUAUUAUGUAAUCCAAAACUCUAAAAUCUUUUAUGCGAAGGAAAUAUUUGUGAAAAAGGCGAUGAUCAUGCCACUUGCUUUUGGUGAUGCGUGGCAACGAAGUGCACUUUUUAUGGACCAUAAUGUUACAUGUACAACAUAUGUAGGAAGCGUAACUUCCUUCAGUACCACAUGCAUCACAAAUGAAUGAUGAUCCUCUUAGCAACAAAGUGAAAGGAUGUCUAUGCCUUUUAUCUUCAACAAUAAGAUCUAAAGAUUCUGAUACACAUUCAAUGUGAACAACAAACUUACACGGAGAACAACCAUAAACAAAUCCUCUUCGCCUUGUUACUUGGCAUAUCUGUUGAAAGCUGGACUGCAAUGCAACAUGGAGCCAAAAGCUUGCCACUGUCGAGACCAGCAGCUAUCGAGCUCAACUCAUUUUGCUUGGUGCGCACGAAUGGUUUUUGAACCAAAUGAAGCAACCAACUUUGCUGCUUUGUUUUGAUGUAAUUUGGUUCAGUUCAACUUUAGUUUGUUUGUAAUGCUAGUUAAACUUAAGUUAGUGACAAGAUCUUUUGAUGUAAUGGCUGAUUGGUCAGCUAUAUUUGAUUAUUUUUGGCUAGUGAUUAGGUUUGUAUUAGUUGGGGCAGUUAAAUACAUUAGGUAACUGUCAAUGUACAUUGUAACUCUUUUAUAUAUUUCAAGUUUGAAUGAAAAAUGAUGUAUGUUCAGUCACAACAUUACUGAGUAUUUAAUUUUGAUCAAAUUUUGCUUUGCUUUGUCUCGAUUCUUCUUGCUUCAGUCUUGCAAACACUAAGUUGCAACUUUGUUUUGAUGUUUGCUGCUGCCAUUGUUCCAACAAAUGGUAUCAUGAGCCCGAGUCUUUGAGGGGCCUUUGUAUGCAAUCUGUUGUGUUCGAAUCAAAACCAACAGCAAGUUCAAAAUUUGGUAAGAUUGAAGCAUUUAAAAUCAGUUUAGCAGAAUGAGUUUCACUCCACCACCUCCACCAGU